rnacentral:misc_RNA from 1 species
GAUGAAGAACGUAGCGAAAUGCGAUACGUAAUGUGAAUUGCAGAAUUCAGUGAAUCAUCGAAUCUUUGAACGCAUAUUGCGCUCUCUGGUAUUCCGGAGAGCAUGCUUGUUUGAGUAUCAGUAAACACCUCAACUCCCUUUUCUUUUUUGAAAUUGGAGCUGGACUUGAGUGAUCCCAACGCUUUCUUCCAAGAAAGUGGCGGGUUGCUUGAAAUGCAGGUGCAGCCGAACUUUUCUCUGAGCUAUAAGCAUAUCUAUUUAGUCUGCCUAAAAAACAGAUUAUUACCUUUGCUGCAGCUAACAUAAAGGAGACUAGUUCUUGUGCUGACUGAUGCAGGAUUCACAGAGACAGCUUCGGCUGACUUUGUAAACUCGAUCUCAAAUCAAGUAAGACUACCCGCUGAACUUAAGCAUAUCAAUAAGCGGAGGA